AAGUUAGUGCAGUGGCAAUAUCGUAGCUAACAAGGUUUAUCUGAGGAGUGAUUAUUGCUAACUGAAAACAAAUAAUAAUUAUGUUUUUAGGUAUUUUCUGAUAAAUAAUUCAGACAUUUUAUGUAUAUCUUUCUAACAUUCAGAU